AGAAGAAGAAGAGGAGUAGGUUCACGGGGCGGCCUGCGCAGCGCCAUAAACAUUACUUUUUCUCGUGUUUUCCUUCAAAGUACAAUGAAGAGAAGAUCCACAGCCUGUGAGGAGAAGGUGGAGAGGACAGUGGCGGCCAGGGAAAGGAAGGAACACCGCAGAGAAGCCUUCAUGUGACGAAAGUGCCCUUCCACUACGCCACUACCACAACCACAACCACCACUACCACAACCACUACCACCAAAUCACCACACUAAGCGUGAAGAUGUCAGGUCGCGACCCGUUCGUCCAUCGGCGCACCUUCCAGAACGCCAACCAGGUGGUGGAGUUGACCACACGCACCAUUCCCAAGGCUCAACACCACCAGCGAGGACAUCAACACCAAUCACCACCACCACCACCACCUUUUGCUCAUUGGCUACAGUGAAGGUCGUGGCAGAGAGUGUACUCAAACUCCUACUGUGAGCUACUCCUGAUGCCUGCGCCCUCACCACCCCUGUGAAGGACGCCCAGCUGACCCAACUCUCCACGUGUGCCCCUGAGAGCUCCCUGCAGCACAGCGAGUCUCUUCUUGGACGGGUCAGAGGCACAGAAGAUGUAGCCAGACUUGCCGGCCAAACCCGAGGGUGUGUGUUGAUGCUGGGACCAAGAAGAAGAAGAAGAAGAAGAGGAAGAGGAGGAAGAAGAUGAUAAUGACAACAGAAGAUCAGAAGAAGAAGACGAGGAGGAGGAAUGGAAGAAGAGAAUAAUACACACACACACACACACACACACACAUGACAAACACCUUUUUAGAUAUUUUUCAUUUUUAUUAGUCCAUACAACAUACAUUAGCUAUAUACAUAUUAUACAACAUAUGCAUAACUAUAUACAUUAGACCAUAGAGUGAGUGAGUGAGAGACACUCGAGAGGUGCCCCCCCCCCCCCCCUCUCUCUCUCUCUCUCUCUCUCUCUCUCUCUCUCAUCUCACCUCACCACAGCUCACAGGACCCCACAGAUGUACCCCUCACAGUAUGUCGACAACCCCCCACAGACACAUACCCCCCCAGCCUCAUGAAGGACCCCCUCCUCCCUCCCUCCCCCCCUAGCCAAAAUAGCCUUAUCAUUGUUACUAUGUGUAUGUAUGUAUGUGUGUUUUUCUAUUAAUAAAAAGUUAAUUUGUAAUGUUUGUGUGUUAUAUUCCUAUGAGAGAGGAAAAGGUAAAGAGGGAGAGACAGAAUGUAAUGAGAAGAAUAAGAGAGAGAGGAGGUAAGGGAAGGAGAGAGAUGAGAGAAGGAAAAUAAAGAAUGAAAGAACUGAAGAAAUUUACCAAUAAAAGAGAGAGAGAGAGAAAG